rnacentral:rRNA from 1 species
GAAUUCACUAUGGAGUUGUUGCUGGCCUCUAGGGGCAUGUGCACGCUUCACUAGUCUUUCAACCACCUGUGAACCUUUGAUAGAUCUGUGAAGUCGUCUCUCUCAAGUCGCUGACUUGGUUUGCUGGGAUUUAAACGUCCCGGUGUGACUACGCAGUCUAUUUACUUACACACCCCAAAUGUAUGUCUACGAAUGUCAUUUAAUGGGCCUUGUGCCUAUAAACCAUAAUACAACUUUCAACAACGGAUCUCUUGGCUCUCGCAUCGAUGAAGAACGCAGCGAAAUGCGAUAAGUAAUGUGAAUUGCAGAAUUCAGUGAAUCAUCGAAUCUUUGAACGCACCUUGCGCCCCUUGGUAUUCCGAGGGGCAUGCCUGUUUGAGUGUCAUUAAAUUCUCAAACUCACAUUGGUUUUCCAAUUGUGAUGUUUGGAUUGUUGGGGGCUGCUGGCUUUAACAAGUCGGCUCCUCUUAAAUGCAUUAGCAGGACUUCUCAUUGCCUCUGCGCAUGAUGUGAUAAUUAUCACUCAUCAAUAGCACGCAUGAAUAGAGUCUAGCUCUCUAAUCGUCCGCAAGGACAAUUUGACAAUUUGACCUCAAAUCAGGUAGGACUACCCGCUGAACUUAAGCAUAU